UACGUAGGGGGCUAGCGUUGUCCGGAAUCAUUGGGCGUAAAGCGCGUGUAGGCGGUCCGGUAAGUCCGCUGUGAAAGUCGGGGGCUCAACCCUCGGAUGCCGGUGGAUACUGUCGGGCUUGAGUACGGAAGAGGCGAGUAGAAUUCCUGGUGUAGCGGUGAAAUGCGCAGAUAUCAGGAGGAACACCAAUUGCGAAGGCAGCUCGCUGGGACGUUACUGACGCUGAGACGCGAAAGCGUGGGGAGCAAACAGG
rnacentral:rRNA from 1 species